UAGGGAAUCUUCCGCAAUGGGCGAAAGCCUGACGGAGCAACGCCGCGUGAGUGAUGAAGGUCUUCGGAUCGUAAAACUCUGUUAUUAGGGAAGAACAAAUGUGUAAGUAACUAUGCACGUCUUGACGGUACCUAAUCAGAAAGCCACGGCUAACUACGUGCCAGCAGCCGCGGUAAUACGUAGGUGGCAAGCGUUAUCCGGAAUUAUUGGGCGUAAAGCGCGCGUAGGCGGUUUUUUAAGUCUGAUGUGAAAGCCCACGGCUCAACCGUGGAGGGUCAUUGGAAACUGGAAAACUUGAGUGCAGAAGAGGAAAGUGGAAUUCCAUGUGUAGCGGUGAAAUGCGCAGAGAUAUGGAGGAACACCAGUGGCGAAGGCGACUUUCUGGUCUGUAACUGACGCUGAGGUGCGAAAGCGUGGGGAUCAAACAGG
rnacentral:rRNA from 1 species